AAAACUUUUCUUAUAAAGUUCUCAGAGAAUUUUCAACUUAUUACAUGCGAAGGAGAAAAAAUAUGGCUCAACUUUCAUAUAUAUUUUAUGCUUUUAUUAUCUUUCUUUGUGUAUUUUUUGUCCCAACCAAAAGUAAUUCUAUUCCAUGCACAACACAUGCUCAAUGUCCGGGAGAUAUGUGUGAACUUCCUCAAAUUGUGUGGUGUGUUGUUGGUUUUUGUGAAUGUGCGUAAAAGUAACAAAUAAGUUGAAAAAUAAUUCUAUAUCACUUGUAACUGUAUAAUUAUAUUGGAAGGUACUCUUAUAAUUUUUCUCAUACUUUUAUUUGUUUUUCUUUGACAAGUUCAAAUAUGUAUUAUUAUAUUACAAAAGUAUGUUAAUGUCAUUCGUUCGUAAA